CGCGUAGGCGGCCUUCUAAGUCGAACGUGAAAUCCCCGGGCUCAACCCGGGAACUGCGUCCGAUACUGGAAGGCUUGAAUCCGGGAGAGGGAUGUGGAAUUCCAGGUGUAGCGGUGAAAUGCGUAGAUAUCUGGAGGAACACCGGUGGCGAAGGCGACAUCCUGGACCGGUAUUGACGCUGAGGCGCGAAAGCCAGGGGAGGCAAAACG
rnacentral:rRNA from 1 species